AGGCUUUGGGUUGGAGACCGCCCUGGUCUCGUCUCGUCUCGCUCGCGCGUCCGGUAGAAACCCUAGCUCGUCUAUCUAAACCCCGCCUCGCCGGAGACGCCGUCCGGCCGGCCGCCCGUCCGCCCGCCAUGGACGCGAUGCGGAAGCAGCUGGACGUGCUCAUGGGGGCCAACCGCAACGGCGACGUGCGGGAGGUCAACCGCAAGUACUUCGACCGCGACGUCUGCCGCCUCUUCCUCGCCGGCCUCUGCCCGCACGACCUCUUCCAGCUCACGAAAAUGGAUCUCGGACCUUGCCCCAAGGUCCACUCGCUUCAGCUGCGGAAAGAUUAUGAGGAAGUAAAAGCCAAGGGGUCGGAGAACUUCGACAGGGAGCUCGAGGAUAUGAUCGAUAGGCUCAUCGUGGAGUGCGAGAGGAAAAUCCAGAGGGCCCUCAAACGUCUCGCCGACGAGGAUGCCAAGGCCGCCAUCGCGAUAUCGGUGUCCGAGGUUACUCUGGAUGAAGAAGUUUUGCGGUUGUCAAAGGAAAUCAAGGAGAAAAUGAAAGAAGUUGAUACCUUCGAUUUUGAAGGGAAAACUGAUGAUAAAAUCAAGGCCAUGGAAGUGGUGGAAGAAUUAAGAUCUAAAAGGGCUGACAUGCAGGCUACCCUCUUGCUUGAUGCCUUUAACAAGGACCGCGCUUCAAUACCUCAGACUGCUCCAACUCAAAUAGCACCACUGCCACCACCUCCUCCUCCUGAUGCUCGUACUCAAGAACUGAUUAAUGAAAAGCUAAGCAAAGCUGAAGCCCUAGGUGAACAAGGGAUGGUAGAUGAAGCACAAAAAGUUUUAGAAGAAGCAGAAGCUCUAAAAAAGUUGGCGGCAUUACGUCAGGAGCCGGCUUCUGAUCCUUCUAAAUACACUGUUGCUGAUGUUCGAAUUACUGAUCAAAAGUUGCGCCUCUGUGAUAUAUGUGGAGCAUUUCUGAGUGUCUAUGACAAUGAUCGACGUCUUGCGGACCAUUUUGGAGGGAAGCUACACUUGGGCUACAUGCUGAUUCGUGAGAAACUGAAAGAACUCCAGGUGCUGAAUGUAAUGUCCCAUUUUCUGCUUUAAAGACUUACUCUGUUUUGGGCCUUUUGGCAUCUGUGAGUUUUCUUAUCUCAAGGAAGAGCCUCCAGGUUCUUGCCUUCUCUAUAUGUUAUUUUAUCUCACAUUGGAGGGCGCCAUGGUUGUUACGAUAGUCAUUACAGGAAUUAGUCAGUGUUGCAUAAGUGGAAUCUCAUGUGACAACCAUCCUCCUUCCCAUGGCAACAACAGCUGCCACUGUAUGUUGACAAAUGUAAGCAUAGGAGUGAGCAGACCAUGGUAUGGCGAAUCAUGUUUACUUAAUUGUGUCAACUUUCUCACAUAUACUCAGCUUAGUAUUAAUGUUGAUCAGAAGCUGGAGCUUGCUUUCUGCUUGGUGAUCCAUAUUUUGUAGAGCUGGUGAUAAAUAGUACCGGUUAAGUUACUCUGAAAGCGCACCCUUUUGCCAUCUUUACCUGUAAGUUACCACUUGUUCAUAUGCCGCCUGCUCCAUGAAUAUGUAAGUUGUCAUUGCCGAACUAAUCUCAACUGUAAUGUAUCCCCUGCCUUUCAUUUUGACGCUUCUCUUCAUUAUUUUGUCGUCGUUUGAAUUGAAAGUACCUCCACUUGGUAAGUUUGUCUAUAUUAUGAAAAGCAUGCCAUUUUAAGACUGUCAUAUUUGACUUACAGGAGGACAGGAACAAAAGAAGGACCGAUAAAUCUGAGGAUGAUAGACGAUCAAGAGAACACAGCAAGGACCGCAAUGGGCGGGCAUCCAGGGAUAGAGAUGUAGAAAGGAAGGACAGAGUUGAACCUCGGGAAAGCAGAAGAGACCACGAC